rnacentral:rRNA from 1 species
AUUGAACGCUGGCGGCAGGCCUAACACAUGCAAGUAGAACGAGUUGCGAACGGGUGAGUAACGCGUGGUACCCUGCCUCAUACCGGGGGAUAACUAUUGGACACGAUAGUUAAUACCGCAUACUGUGAGAUGGACCUGCGUUGUAUUAGCUAGUGGGUGAGGUAAAGGCUCACCAAGGCGACGAUACAUAGCCGACCUGAGAGGGUGAGCGGCCACACUGGGACUGAGACACGGUCCAGACGCCUACGGGAGGCAGCAGUGGGGAAUAUUGCACAAUGGGCGCAAGCCUGAUGCAGCCAUGCCGCGUGUAUGAAGAGGGCCUUCGGGUUGUAAAGUACUUUCAGCGGGGAGGCGUUACCCGCAGAGGAAGCACCGGCUAACUCCGUGCCAGCAGCCGCGGUAAUAC